UCUCUCCUCCUUCCUCUUUCACGCGUAAUUUCUCUCUCCUCAUUCAAUUUCAUCCGGUUUUCUACUCUCUUUCUCUCUGAAAUUUCAUCACAACUUCUCCAAUCUUCAUCAAUUGUUCGUCAAUGUAAGUUUAUUGUUUAUUUUUUUUGCUGUUGUUCAAUUAAUUUUAGGUUACAUUCAUUGUUUAUCUUCGUUUUGAUUUUCGUUUUAUUUGUGCUGAUUUCAUCUCACUAAUUUUUGGUUACUUUGUGUCGAUUAUGUUUUAGUUUGUUUUUUUUUGUUGAUUUUAGUUUUAUUUUCGUUUUUUUGAGUAAUUAUCAAGUUCAUUUUAGUUUUAACAUGUAUUCUUGUUUUGGUUGUGUAUUUUCGAAAUUAUUUUGUGGUUUUGUUGCGAUUUUUGCUCGAUUUUGUUGCGAUUAUGUUGCGGUUUUGGUUUGGUUGUUAGUACUGCUAAAGCUAGUAUAAAGCUUCCUUCGAACAUUCAAGGUAAUCCAAACACUUAAACCCCUGUUUUACUUGUGAAUUCUGAUUCGAAAAAUUUGCAACAGGAAUUGAGGAUGCACGUAAACUGUUCGAUUAAAUGUCUAAGCGAAAAGCUAAAUGUUUGGAGCUUUGGACCCCCAAGAUUGGUUUUUUCAAUUGAUUAAAAAAAAAAGAAAUUCUGAAUUUUGCUAUAAUUUGUUUAUAGGUAAACAUUGCGAUUAUGUUCAAGUUAGUAUAUAAAAUCCAGUUGAUUGUGGGCUUAUUUCUGUUCAAUUUUUUUGUAUGAUUAUUCAGUUCGUUUUUUUUGUUUGAUUAUCCACUUCCAAUUUUUUGAUAUUUCGGCAUUAUCGUUCUUUGAUGGAAGAACUAUGGUAGCCAGUGUUAAAGUAUUUGACCCUCGUCGGGGGACCUGGAUGAGUGAGGCAUCAAUGAACCACUCAAGGGGAUAUUCAGCAGCUGUUGUAUUGAAUGAUAGGAUAUAUGCAAUUGGGGGAAUGGGAGGAAAUGAGAAUGUUCUGGAUAAGGUCGAGCGAUACCAGGAAGGUCUUGGUUGGCAAGUGACAAACCUCAAGGCUGUGGGGAUCGGAAAAGGUGCUUUGCUCCAGCUGUAGUCGUACAGCUUGCGCAUUGAAAGGGCUAGGAGAUGUGAAAGCUAGAAUUUCAGAGGGGCUGCUUCAUUAAAGCUUACUGUAAUUUUGUUUAUAGGAGGUACAGCAUAACUGUUAAUCCACUUUUGUACAGAUUUUCUUGCAGAAUAGAGAAACGAAAUCCAGCAAUUCUCUCUGGUCUCAGCUAUGUUUUUGUAAAUUGGAGCUACAUAUGAUUAAUAUGAAUCUUCAUACACGUAUAGGGACAAAUACAUAUGAAUCAAUACAGCCAAAUAUGGUAGGCUGAUGUUCAUUAGUGUUUUUUUUUUAUAUAUACAACUCGGAACCUUAAAGGCAAGUAUGGAUCCAAAGUGCCUUUGGUUUUGAUGAACUCAUUCAACACACAUGAUGAUACACUAAAGGUAAAGUACCCAUAUAGAUAUUCUAUACUGAUUAGUUGUUCAACCAGAUGGAUAGUUCUCUUUCCGAAGAAGAGAAACAGCUGGUUAGUUAAGAAGAAGACGGUGAUUUAGUAUUACAAUUUGAGCACUUUGUAUAUACUUCUUAAAAGUCAUUUGCUAAUAUUUUAUAUAGAUGAAAGCAACUAAAAUUACUCGUAUUUCACUUGUGGUAGGAAUGCUCGCUGAACCAAGUAAAUGAAAUGAUGCUUCAUUGUGAUCAAGGCCUGCAACAUGUACAUUGGAACACUAUAUUUGAGAUGCAGCAUAUGGGAAUUGUAGAUAACAAUUUAAGAUUGGCAAGCUGAAAUGUGACCCUCAAACUCACGCAGGGUACUUGAUCAAGGUUGGGCCUUUGGCUGCAAAGAAUCUUAUCGCUGGAAAUGUGAAUGGCACAUCAGAUCCUUAUGCUCUUGUUACUCGCGGUACAGAGAAAAGAUUCAGAAUUGCCUUUCUGCAUCCACGAGAGCAAGGCUGUAUCAAUAUGACCCCCCUCUUCCUCCCCCAACCUAAAAAGAAAAAAAAAAUCAGUCAUAGCAAGGAAGCUCUUGUGAAGGAUGAGUCGCUGUCAGUAGCUACUGGUUAUUGCUUUGGCAAUUCACAUCUGCUGUGUAUUUGUAUAUUUAUCUGUUCAUAGUAAAAAUCAGGUGGUAGCUUUACCGUCUUACUGAUAUGACCGGAGUUGUCUAGCUAUGUUGUUUAGAUAUUUUUAACUUAAAAAAUUAUGAAAACUGUUUUGCUUUGUUGUCUCCUAUAAAAUUGUAAAGGAGAUAUUAUAUAUAUGUAGUCACCAUCAUAACUACAUAAAAUUAUAUAUAUUGUAGGCAAAUGGUUUCUACUGUUGA